rnacentral:rRNA from 1 species
UACAGAGGGUGCUAGCGUUGUUCGGAAUCAUUGGGCGUAAAGGGCGUGUAGGCGGUUUGUUAAGUCAUGUGUGAAUCCCUCGGCUCAACCGGGGAACGACGCAUGAAACUGGCAAGCUAGAGUACCAAAGAGGGGGGUGGAAUUCCCGGUGUAGCGGUGAAAUGCGUAGAUAUCGUGGAGACACCGGUGGCGAAGGCGGCCCAUGUCGUG